rnacentral:rRNA from 1 species
AUGGAGUCGAGAUCGGGGCGUCGUCGCCUCCGUUCCUCCUCCCCGACUGAGGACCGCAUCAGCACCCUCCCAGACGACCUGCUCCUCCUCAUCCUCGCCCGCCUCCGAUCCAUCGCCGCAGCCGUGCGCACCAGCGUCCUCUCACGCCGCUGGAGCGGCAGCGGCGGCCUCUGGACCCGCCUCCACGAGAUCGUCUUCCGCGACAUUACCUUCCCCUCGCUCGAAGCGGCGCUCGGUCGCGUCGUCGACCCUCCCGCGGUUUCCCUCCUGGAAAUCCGCGUCCCCGAUGUGCACCGGCCGGGCACCGAAACCAACGUCGGCGGCCUCGGUUUCAACUCGCUGCUGCGCGCUGCCGCGCAGCUCGCACCGGAGGAGUUCGUCUUCCGCUUCCCGUGGGACUUAACCGAUCGUUCCCUCGUCGUCGACAUGCCUUGCUUCCCCCGCACCACCUCCAUCGUCCUGGUCAACUUUUUCCUCUUCCUCCGUGUCCCCGACGGCGUCGACUUCCUGGCGCUCGAGACGCUGUCUCUGUCGGGCAGGCUGCCAGAUCUCGACCCCUGGCUAUCCUGCUGCCCACGCUUGCACGCGCUCCGGCUGCGCAGAGUUUUCAGUGAGGGCGAGCUGAGGGUCAUCUCGGCGUCGCUGCACGAGCUCUCCAUCUUCCGCCUGUACCAACGGAUGCACGGCAUCAACAUCGUCGCCCCCAUGCUCAAGCAAUUGACCAUGUCCUUUUUCUCCUCUGGUGCCAGCAUCUCCGUCUUGGCACCAAUGGUGGAGAAGGUCUCAUGGGACUGCAGGUACUCCAAGCCGUCUAUUGUGUUUGGUCUUUGGCGGCUAGAGCAGGUGACACUACAGAUGGGAGAGACACAAGGACAUGUCCCUACACUGCAGAUUUGUGCCCACGCCGUGCGUCUCUUCUCCCCUCUCAAUUUACUGCAAAGCUUCGACUAA